GGGUUGUGAGGUUAAGCGACUAAGCGUACACGGUGGAUGCCCUGGCAGUCAGAGGCGAUGAAGGGCGUGCUAAUCUGCGAUAAGCGCCGGUAAGGUGAUAUGAACCGUUAUAACCGGCGAUACCCGAAUGGGGAAACCCAGUGUGACUCGUCACACUAUCAUUAACUGAAUCCAUAGGUUAAUGAGGCGAACCGGGGGAACUGAAACAUCUAAGUACCCCGAGGAAAAGAAAUCAACCGAGAUUCCCCCAGUAGCGGCGAGCGAACGGGGAGGAGCCCAGAGCCUGAAUCAGCAUGUGUGUUAGUGGAAGCGUCUGGAAAGGCGCGCGAUACAGGGUGACAGCCCCGUACACAAAAGCGCAUGUGCUGUGAGCUCGAUGAGUAGGGCGGGACACGUGGUAUCCUGUCUGAAUAUGGGGGGACCAUCCUCCAAGGCUAAAUACUCCUGACUGACCGAUAGUGAACCAGUACCGUGAGGGAAAGGCGAAAAGAACCCCGGCGAGGGGAGUGAAAAAGAACCUGAAACCGUGUACGUACAAGCAGUGGGAGCNNGUGACUGCGUACCUUUUGUAUAAUGGGUCAGCGACUUAUAUUCUGUAGCAAGGUUAACCGAAUAGGGGAGCCGGAGGGAAACCGAGUCUUAAUUGGGCGUUAAGUUGCAGGGUAUAGACCCGAAACCCGGUGAUCUAGCCAUGGGCAGGUUGAAGGUUGGGUAACACUAACUGGAGGACCGAACCGACUAAUGUUGAAAAAUUAGCGGAUGACCUGUGGCUGGGGGUGAAAGGCCAAUCAAACCGGGAGAUAGCUGGUUCUCCCCGAAAGCUAUUUAGGUAGCGCCUCGUGAAUUCAUCUCCGGGGGUAGAGCACUGUUUCGGCUAGGGGGCCAUCCCGGCUUACCAACCCGAUGCAAACUGCGAAUACCGGAGAAUGUUAUCACGGGAGACACACGGCGGGUGCUAACGUCCGUCGUGAAGAGGGAAACAACCCAGACCGCCAGCUAAGGUCCCAAAGUCAUGGUUAAGUGGGAAACGAUGUGGGAAGGCCCAGACAGCCAGGAUGUUGGCUUAGAAGCAGCCAUCAUUUAAAGAAAGCGUAAUAGCUCACUGGUCGAGUCGGCCUGCGCGGAAGAUGUAACGGGGCUAAACCAUGCACCGAAGCUGCGGCAGCGANNGUUGGGUAGGGGAGCGUUCUGUAAGCCUGCGAAGGUGGCCUGUGAGGGUUGCUGGAGGUAUCAGAAGUGCGAAUGCUGACAUAAGUAACGAUAAAGCGGGUGAAAAGCCCGCUCGCCGGAAGACCAAGGGUUCCUGUCCAACGUUAAUCGGGGCAGGGUGAGUCGACCCCUAAGGCGAGGCCGAAAGGCGUAGUCGAUGGGAAACGGGUUAAUAUUCCCGUACUUGGUGUUACUGCGAAGGGGGGACGGAGAAGGCUAUGUUGGCCGGGCGACGGUUGUCCCGGUUUAAGCGUGUAGGUGUGUGUUCCAGGUAAAUCCGGUUCACUUUAACACUGAGGCGUGAUGACGAGGCACUACGGUGCUGAAGCAACAAAUGCCCUGCUUCCAGGAAAAGCCUCUAAGCAUCAGGUAACAUCAAAUCGUACCCCAAACCGACACAGGUGGUCAGGUAGAGAAUACCAAGGCGCUUGAGAGAACUCGGGUGAAGGAACUAGGCAAAAUGGUGCCGUAACUUCGGGAGAAGGCACGCUGACAUGUAGGUGAAGUGAUUUACUCAUGGAGCUGAAGUCAGUCGAAG
rnacentral:rRNA from 1 species